CCGUCCCCUCCUCGCCCCGGCCUGUAACUGCUGCGGGGGCCGCUUUCUGGGCCCGCCCCUCCAGGCCAGGAGCCUUUUUCAAAAUGUGGCGGUGGCAGGGAAGGUUGUCUGCUCCAGAGGCUUCCCUAGAGUGAAGAGCUCUACUAUCAAUGAUUCAAGAAACGUUAGUAGGUGCCCAUAACUUCGGUGGUGGAGAUCCAAAAGUGAACAAGACAGUGUUCUGGCUGCUAAAUUCUUCUUAACUGGUUAUGCCUGGAGACCUUCACUUGGUUCUGUGCCAGCACUGCCCAUGAACUUCAUAGACUGUGAUCUUUGCUAAGGCCUAAAUGAAUGAAGGUGCAGGACCGGAAGCAGAAGACAGAAAGUGGAGACCAGAUGUUUGAAGCUGGGUAAAGGCAGGGAUGGAGCAGGAACCGAGGAACAAACCUUGGAACUAGUCUUCACACCAGCAAGAUUCCUUGGCACCUCAAGGUUUGAAGAACAACUACACAACAAAAUUCACUCUAUUCUGGAUGAUGAUGGUCUCCCAACUCAGGUUUAAAGGGCAAUCACUUUCAAAUUAACUGGACAAUCACUCUCACUCUGCCCCAGAGAAUCACUUUUGAAACAUCAAAACACCUAUUUUGGCUCCCUUUUAUGGUACCUUGUCAUUUAAAUCAUACAAAAUGUUACAAAUACAGAACUGUCCAUGUAUGUUUUUAAUAGGGUCAGCGAUAUUAAUGCAGCAGCAGUGUAAGCAGAGCAUUUUAAGAAAUUCUUCCGGUCCUUUUGGAAUUCAGCUUAACAGACAUGUAUUGACAUAACUAACUUGUUCAAUAUGUCUUUCUGUAAGUUAUAAGUGAGGAGAAAGUAAAGCUUUCCAUUAAACUAACAGAUGAAAU
rnacentral:lncRNA from 1 species